CAGAUUGUUGCGUAAUUGGUAACGCACCUACAUUGGGAGUAGGAUUAUAGGAGUUCGAGUCUCUUCAAUCUGA